UACGUAGGGGGCAAGCGUUGUCCGGAAUCAUUGGGCGUAAAGCGCGUGUAGGCGGCCAGAAAAGUCCGCUGUGAAAACUCGAGGCUCAACUUCGAGCUGUCGGUGGAAACUUUCUGGCUAGAGUCCGGAAGAGGAGAAUGGAAUUCCUGGUGUAGCGGUGAAAUGCGCAGAUAUCAGGAAGAACACCCGUGGCGAAGGCGGUUCUCUGGGCAUUACCUGACGCUGAGGAGCGAAAGUGUGGGGAGCGAACAGG
rnacentral:rRNA from 1 species